CUUUUCGAAUUUUCAGAGCAUGGAAAGCCUCAUGGGCUACGAUAAUAUUGUCCUGAAUGAGCCGUCCUGCCAUAAAGGCCGACUAAUUUGGUGAGACCACUUCACUAAGAACACCCUUCAACCGGUUGGCUAGAAUCUUGGUGAUCACUUUUAUGUUGAAAUUGCAAAGGCUAAUUGGCCUAAACUGUGAGAGUGUUUCUGGUGCUGGAACUUUGGGUAUGAGAACCAAAUUCGUAUGAUUCAUCUCCUUCAACAAGAAGCCCCCCCUAAAGAAGCUCUUCACCGCCGCACAAAGGGAUGGCCCCACAAUAUCCCAAUGCCAAUGAUAGAAAUACC
rnacentral:misc_RNA from 1 species